CUACGGGAGGCAGCAGUGAGGGAUAUUGCACAAUGGGCGCAAGCCUGAUGCAGCGACGCCGCGUGAGUGAUGAAGGCCUUCGGGUCGUAAAACUCUUUUCUGUGUGACGAGCAAGGACGGUAGCACAGGAAUAAGUCUCGGCUAACUACGUGCCAGCAGCCGCGGUAAAACGUAGGAGACAAACGUUAUCCGGAGUUACUGGGCGUAAAGGGCGUGCAGGCGGUUCGAUAAGUCUGGCGUGAAAUCAUUCGGCUUAACCGGGUGAUGUCGUCGGAGACUGUCGGGCUAGAGGAUGAUAGAGGCGUGUGGAAUUCCGGGUGUAGUGGUGAAAUGCGUAGAGAUCCGGAGGAACACCAGUGGCGAAGGCGACACGCUGGGUCAUACCUGACGCUAAGACGCGACAGCAUGGGGAGCGAACGGGAUUAGAUACCCGUGUAGUCC
rnacentral:rRNA from 1 species